CCUCAACGAUUAGAGACCCACGUGGGUGAGAGUCGCAGAGAUAUUUGCGGAAACCGAUGUCAUGGCGCGACGAAAAGAGAAUCGUCUCGUUUUUUCUCGCUUUUGCACGUAUAACAAGUCGAGGACAAAGAAAAUGUGUUGGGUGGGGUGACAUCUGAAGUCAGAUGAUGA
ensembl:ncRNA ZK829.13 ncRNA